rnacentral:rRNA from 1 species
CAGCAGCCGCGGGAAUACGGAGGGAGCUAGCGUUGUUCGGAAUUACUGGGCGUAAAGCGCACGUAGGCGGUUUAUCAAGUCAGAGGUGAAAGCCCGGGGCUCAACCCCGGAACUGCCUUUGAAACUAGUAGACUUGAAUCUUGGAGAGGUCAGUGGAAUUCCGAGUGUAGAGGUGAAAUUCGUAGAUAUUCGGAAGAACACCAGUGGCGAAGGCGACUGACUGGACAAGUAUUGACGCUGAGGUGCGAAAGCGUGGGGAGCAAACAGGAUUAGAUACCCCAGUAGUCCCUGUCUCUUAUAC